GGCCUAAUGGUCUAGUAGUAUGAUUCUCGCUUUGGGUUCUGUCAAAAUACAACAGUACUGCGAGAGGUCCUGGGUUCAAUUCCCAGUUGGGCCC